GAGCCAAAAAACGGGGACUAGGGAAAGGGGGGGUUCACUCCCUCUUGCCUCCCGCCGACGGGCAGAGCCCCCGGCGGCCACAACCAGGCGAGCUUGCGGGAUGCCGUGGAGAGGGUACGGCCCGACCAGAAGGCUCGACGGGGCCAGAUGAAGUGCCCCUGGCUGGCAUAUCUCCCCCGACCCCCCUGAGGGCAGAAGGACCCGGCUUCCCCCGCACUUGACUGGCUCCGAGCGAGGCGGAGACCCACCUCACGGGCACUCGCUCGCCCCAUGACAGCGAGCCCGACGGCCGGGCCAGCACGAACCCGCCUGUCCCCGCGGGGAACCAGCGCCAAGAGGGAAACCCCGGGCCGCGUCCCCUCCCACUCGACUCUCUGCCCAGCCCCCACAGCGGUAACGGGGGCAGGCGGCAUUCGGGCAGCCAACCGCCCUCCCUCGCCGCUCCGGUUCCCCCGCCACCCCGCGAAGCCCCUCACCAGGAGGAAGAGGACAACGGACCCUGCUGAUCAACGGAACUGGGGGAAAGGCAUAUAGCAGCUGACCCAACCAGGACAGAAGGAAGGCGUUGGAAAUCGCGCCUUUGCCCAGGCCCCUCCUAGAGCAGAACCGGGGGCACCGGCGGUUCUGCCUGAUUGUGAAGAGGUUCACUUGGAGAGUGCCCCACCUCCGGGUGGAGCGACCACUCGUGCUGGGAGUAGAAUUCCUGGCUCAGGCGAUCCGCUCGAAAGUUCCGGAUGCCCACAGCCCCAGUGUGGUAUAUUUGGACAGGAGGAGUGUUACGUGGUCCUGUACCUGAGACCUGGCUGGAGCUGCCUUUGACCAGCCAGUUGUCGAGACAGGGGAAGAUCUGGACCCCCCGACAUCUGAGGGCCUUGCCAUCGAAGGGGAGGUCCUGCAGCGAGCUUUGUGCCUCGUUGGACAACCUGGACAAGAGGAGCCAUGAUGCCCUCCGCAUGAACACCACAGAGGCCAUGGUUGUUGUCGUUAUGUCCAAGGCUGCCUGAAGGGCUGCUCUGGCAGCAGCGGUGCCCUCCUCCACCAGGGUGUUAUACUCCUUCCUAUCACAUUGAUGGAGAGAGUUUGUAAACUUUGGCACUGAGACCCAUAGAUUAAAAUUA